CAGUUAAUUCCUUCAAAUCAUUAUUAGCACAUAUAUCUUAACAGCAAACCCAGAAAACCAUCCAUCAUGAUCAUUUCAUAUAAACAACCAUACCUCUCAAGUUGAUGAUCCUUCAGAGUCGACUUGGUUUGGUUCAAUCACAUCCGCUUGUACCAUACAAUUGUUUCAUUCUUACAGUUCAAGAUGGUAAAAGCUGUAAGAAUUCCUUAAUGAGGAGAAAAGGAUAAAUGAAAAGAAAAAGUAAGAGAUGAUACGCUUUAUCCAUCUUCAGAGUCAACUUGGUUUGGUUCAAUCACAUCCGCUUGUACCGUAUAUUUCACUUUUACAGUUCAUGAUGGUUAAAGCUGUAAGAAUUCAUUCAUGAGGAGAAAAAGGAUGAAGGAAAAGAAAAAGGUAAGACAUGAUACACUUUAACCGUCUGCAGAGUUCAACUUGGUUCGAUUCAAUCACUUCCACUAGAAUCAUAUAAUUGUUCCAUUUUUUACAGUUGAAGAUGGUUAAAGCUGUAAGAUCCAUUCAUGAGGACAAAGGAAUAAAGGAAAAGGAAAAAGAAAAGAAAGAGUAAGAGAUGACACGCUUAUAAGAGUUCUUUUUAUCUUAUAUUUCUCCAUCAGUAACAUCUGCAUAUGUUAAAUCAGAAACAUCUGUUAAUCAUAUCCAGCCAAUUACUCCAUAACAUCAAUUCUUUUGGUCAUAAUUAUACUAACAGUUCGAUCAAAAGAUAAUAAGGUAAGACCAGCAAUGCAUAAAGCAUCUUACUUGCACAAUAAAGGAUAACAUAAAUGCGUGUAAGCUGCAAACCUUCCCGCAAUGCUGCAACAAUUGCAACAGACAAGAAAACAAAACCAGC
rnacentral:lncRNA from 1 species